rnacentral:rRNA from 1 species
UACGUAGGGGGCUAGCGUUGUCCGGAAUCAUUGGGCGUAAAGCGCGUGUAGGCGGUCCGGUAAGUCCGCUGUGAAAGUCGGGGGCUCAACCCUCGGAUGCCGGUGGAUACUGUCGGGCUUGAGUACGGAAGAGGCGAGUGGAAUUCCCGGUGUAGCGGUGAAAUGCGCAGAUAUCAGGAGGAACACCAAUGGCGAAGGCAGCUCGCUGGAACGGUACUGACGCUGAGGCGCGAAAGCGUGGGGAGCGAACAGG